rnacentral:tRNA from 1 species
GGAGAGGUGCCUGAGCGGCUGAAGGGACUGGUUUCGAAAACCAGCGUGUGGGCAACUGCACCGAGGGUUCAAAUCCCUCCCUCUCCGCCA